UACGGGGGGAGCAAGCGUUGUUCGGAUUUACUGAGCGUAAAGGGCGCGUAGGCGGCGCGACAAGUCACUUGUGAAAUCUCUGGGCUCAACCCAGAACGGUCAAGUGAUACUGUCGUGCUAGAGUGCGGAAGGGGCAACUGGAAUUCUUGGUGUAGCGGUGAAAUGCGUAGAUAUCAAGAGGAACACCUGCGGCGAAGGCGGGUUGCUGGGCCGACACUGACGCUGAGGCGCGAAAGCUAGGGGAGCGAACGGG
rnacentral:rRNA from 1 species